UUUUUUUGUAGUACAUAUCUUCCCGUAAUACCAAUGAAUUCACUUUUUUGUGUGACAUUCCAAGUGAGAACACACUAUUAGAGUAGUUUGAAAUCAUUACAAAUGUCUGUUCCUUUCACAAUUUUUUCCUAAGUAUAUUUAAAUAAGAAUAUGUAGAAUAGCAAAUGAGAGUUCUUCAUUUGGAUAUGUUUAUGUUUGUGAAUAUAAUUUUCCAUUUCUACUUUAUAUUUUAGGUCUCUGAUAAAAAUGCACUUUUCAAUUUAAUGUUUCUUGAUCUUGAUAAACAUCCAGAAAAAGUUGAAGGUGUUGGACAGUUGCUCUUUGAAAUGUGCAAAGGAGUUAGAAAUAUGUUUCACUCCUGUACAGGCCAGGCAGUGAAGCUAAUUUUGCGAAAGCUAGGACCAGUCACUGAAACAGAAACUCAACUACCAUGGAUGUUAAUUGGAGAAACACUCAAAAACAUGGUCAAAUCCACUGUAUCCUACAUCUCCAAGGAACAUUUUGGUACAUUUUUUGAAUGUUUGCAAGUGAGUUCUAAUAUUUAAGGAUGGGUUUUUCAUAAGGAGUCUAAGAAUUUACUGUUUCUGCUCUCAGUUUUGC
rnacentral:sRNA from 1 species